CUCUACUCUCGUGGUCAGAUGGUAUAUACUCAAGGGUAUGUAUCCAGUACAGAGAGGAUAAAGGGGCUUGUUUCCAUGCCAUAAGGCAAAAAAUAUAUUUGUUAUGGAUGCUGAAAGUAAUAUUUAUUAGUGAAAUCUGCAACACAUAA
rnacentral:ncRNA from 1 species